AGUGAACGCUGGCGGUAGGCCUAACACAUGCAAGUCGAACGGCAGCACAGUAAGAGCUUGCUCUUACGGGUGGCGAGUGACGGACGGGUAAGGCAUACAUAGGAAUCUACUUUUUCGUGGGUGACUACGUAGGGCAACUUACGCUAAUACCUCAUACGACCUACGGCUUAACGCUGGGGUUCUUCGGACCUUGCGCGCUCUAAUGAACCGAUGUCGGAUUAGUUAGUUGGCAGGUUAAAGGCCCACCUAGGCGACGAUACAUAGCCGACCUGCGAGGGUGGUCGGCCACACUGGGACUGAGACACGGCCCAGACUCCUAAGGGAGGCAGCAGUAGGGGAUCUUCGGCAAUGGGGGCAACCCUAACCGAGCAACGCCGCGUGAGUGAAGAAGGUUUUCGGAUCGGAAAGCUCUGUUGUAAGUCAAGAACGGGUGUGAGAGUGGAAAGUUCACACUGUGACGGUAGCUUACCAGAAAGGGACGGCUAACUACGUG
rnacentral:rRNA from 1 species